AUUGAACGCUGGCGGCAGGCCUAACACAUGCAAGUCGAGCGGAUGAAGGGAGCUUGCUCCUGGAUUCAGCGGCGGACGGGUGAGUAAUGCCUAGGAAUCUGCCUGGUAGUGGGGGAUAACGUCCGGAAACGGGCGCUAAUACCGCAUACGUCCUGAGGGAGAAAGUGGGGGAUCUUCGGACCUCACGCUAUCAGAUGAGCCUAGGUCGGAUUGGCUAGUUGGUGGGGUAAAGGCCUACCAAGGCGACGAUCCGUAACUGGUCUGAGAGGAUGAUCAGUCACACUGGAACUGAGAUACGGUCCAGACUCCUACGGGAGGCAGCAGUGGGGAAUAUUGGACAAUGGGCGAAAGCCUGAUCCAGCCAUGCCGCGUGUGUGAAGAAGGUCUUCGGAUUGUAAAGCACUUUAAGUUGGGAGGAAGGGCAGUAAGUUAAUACCUUGCUGUUUUGACGUUACCAACAGAAUAAGCACCGGCUAACUUCGUG
rnacentral:rRNA from 1 species